GUGAUUGAUUCGGCAGCACAUGUAGUAAAAUUGAACUAUACAGAGAAGAUUGGCAUGGCCCCUGCGCAAGGGUGACACAAAUUCGUGAAGAAUCCAUGGUCUACUUU
ensembl:snRNA U6 U6 spliceosomal RNA